GACGAACGCUGGCGGCGUGCUUAACACAUGCAAGUCGAACGGAAAGGCCCUGCCUUUGUGGGGUGCUCGAGUGGCGAACGGGUGAGUAACACGUGAGUAACCUGCCCUUGACUUUGGGAUAACUUCAGGAAACUGGGGCUAAUACCGGAUAGGAGCUCCUGCUGCAUGGUGGGGGUUGGAAAGUUUCGGCGGUUGGGGAUGGACUCGCGGCUUAUCAGCUUGUUGGUGGGGUAGUGGCUUACCAAGGCUUUGACGGGUAGCCGGCCUGAGAGGGUGACCGGCCACAUUGGGACUGAGAUACGGCCCAGGCUCCUACGGGAGGCAGCAGUGGGGAAUAUUGCACAAUGGGCGGAAGCCUGAUGCAGCAACGCCGCGUGCGGGAUGACGGCCUUCGGGUUGUAAACCGCUUUCGCCUGUGACGAAGCGUGAGUGACGGUAAUGGGUAAAGAAGCACCGGCUAACUACGUG
rnacentral:rRNA from 1 species